rnacentral:rRNA from 1 species
UACGGGGGGAGCAAGCGUUGUUCGGAUUUACUGGGCGUAAAGGGCGCGUAGGCGGCCUCCGCAAGUCAGUUGUGAAAUCUCCGAAGCUUAACUCGGAAAGGUCAACUGAUACUGCGGGGCUAGAGUGCGGAAGGGGCAACUGGAAUUCUCGGUGUAGCGGUGAAAUGCGUAGAUAUCUGGAGGAACACCGGUGGCGAAGGCGGCAUCCUGGACCGGCAUUGACGCUGAGGCGCGAAAGCCAGGGGAGCAAACGGG